CCCGUGUUCAAGCUCAUUGCUCCACUGGAAGGCUACACUAGAAGUCGCCAGAUCGUUUUUAUCCUGCUCAGGACCGUGUUUCUUCGCCUGGCCUCCCUGGUGGUCCUGCUCUUCUCUCUCUGGAAAUAGAUCACUUGUGGGGGCGACUCCGAGGCUAAGGACUGCAAAACCUGUGGCUACAAUUACAAAGAACUUCUGUGCUGGGAGACUGUCCUGGGCCAGGAAAUGUACAAACUUCUGCUCUUUGAUCUGCUGACUGCCUUGGGAGUCGCGCUGCUCAUCCAGUUUCCUAGAAAGCUCCUCUGUGGCCUCUGUCCUGGGGCGCUGGGUAGUCUGGC
rnacentral:lncRNA from 10 species